AUUGAACGCUGGCGGCAGGCCUAACACAUGCAAGUCGAGCGAGUGGCGGACGGGUGAGUAAUGUAUGGGGAUCUGCCUGAUGGAGGGGGAUAACUACUGGAAACGGUGGCUAAUACCGCAUACUAUCGGAUGUACCCAUAUGGGAUUAGCUAGUAGGUGGGGUAAAGGCUCACCUAGGCGACGAUCUCUAGCUGGUCUGAGAGGAUGAACAGCCCAACUGGGACUGGGAAACGGCCCCGAAUCCGACGGGAGGCAGCAGGGGGGAAUAAUUCACAAUGGGCGCAAGCCUGAUGCAGCCAUUCCGCGUGUAGGAAGAAGGCCUUAGGGUUGUAAAGUACUUUCAGCGGGGAGGCGUUACCCGCAGAAGAAGCACCGGCUAACUCCGUGCCAGCAGCCGCGGUAAUUC
rnacentral:rRNA from 1 species